GGACGAACGCUGGCGGCACGCCUAACACAUGCAAGUCGAACGGAGAUUGAGAGCUUGCUCUUAAAUCUUAGUGGCGGACGGGUGAGUAACACGUGAGCAACCUGCCUCUGAGAGAGGGAUAGCUUCUGGAAACGGAUGGUAAUACCUCAUAACAUUACAUGACCGCAUGAUCGUGUAACCAAAGAUUUAUCACUCAGAGAUGGGCUCGCGUCUGAUUAGCUAGUUGGUGAGGUAACGGCCCACCAAGGCGACGAUCAGUAGCCGGACUGAGAGGUUGAACGGCCACAUUGGGACUGAGACACGGCCCAGACUCCUACGGGAGGCAGCAGUGAGGGAUAUUGCACAAUGGAGGAAACUCUUGAUGCAGCGAUGCCGCGUGGAGGAAGAAGGUUUUCGGAUUGUAAACUCCUGUUUCGAGGGACGAUAAUGACGGUACCUCGGGAGGAAGCUCCGGCUAACUACGUGCCAGCAGCGGC
rnacentral:rRNA from 1 species